rnacentral:rRNA from 1 species
UACGGAGGGUGCAAGCGUUAUCCGGAUUCACUGGGUUUAAAGGGAGCGUAGGUGGCUUUGUAAGUCAGUGGUGAAAUAUUGCGGCUCAACCGCAAAACUGCCAUUGAUACUGCUUAGCUUGAAUCACGUCGAGGUGGAUGGAAUAAUACAUGUAGCGGUGAAAUGCUUAGAUAUGUAUUAGAACACCGAUUGCGAAGGCAGUUCACUAGGCGUGUAUUGACACUGAGCUCGAAAGCGUGGGAUCAAACAGG